rnacentral:sRNA from 1 species
UUUUAGCCCUGAUAGCAGCGGCAUCCUUUUUUGCGUCUCCUUUUGGAGGCAAAAAAGAUACAGCGAAUAGCAGGAAAUUGC